CCUACGGGUGGCAGCAGUGGGGAAUAUUGCACAAUGGGGGAAACCCUGAUGCAGCCACGCCGCGUGAGUGACGACGUCUUUCGGUAUGUAAAGCUCUUUUAGCCGGGAAGCAGCUGACGGUACCUGCUUCAGCAGACACGGCUAACUACGUGCCAGCAGCCGCGGUCAUACGUCGGGGGUCAGCGUUAUUCGGAGUUACUGGAUGUAAAGGGAGCGCAGACGGGAGUGCAAGUCUGGAGUGAAAGCCCGGGGCCCAACCCCGGAACUGCUCUGGAAACUGGGCUGCUAGAGUUGUGGAGAGGCAGGCGGAAUGCCUAGUGUAGCGGUGAAAUGCGUAGAUAUUACGAGGAACACCAGUGGCGAAGGCGGCCUGCUGGACAGUAACUGACGUUGAGGCUCGAAAGCGUGGGGAGCAAACAGGAUUAGAUACCCCUGUAGUC
rnacentral:rRNA from 1 species